UUUCUCAUUUCAACAUUUUAGAAAGCCAACAAUAAAGGUUAGUUCUGUCCUCUAUAUGACUGACAAUCCAAGGGCACGUGUACAAAGUCAGGAUGAUACAAGUUGAUAUGCCAGAUUGUUAUUAGCAAAAACUGCACAAUCAGAAAUGUGGAUUUCUUUGCUCUUCCUGUAAGGACAUCUUUUAAAACUUAGGAGACUUAUAAUUCCUGAAAGCAUUAGUGGGCCCUUCAUCUUUGCUUGCACUGGAAAUGAUUUGCCUUUAUUUUUUUAAACUGCUUUUAACCUCAAUCCCUUCAAGCAAUCAGAUAGUUAUUCUUAGAAAGGUAGUUUAUAAAAAUGGAUUAACUUUGACAAUGACAUUGCAGCUGAGGACUGCUAAAUGUGUAAGCUUUUGUUGAUUUGAAAGAAGUAUGUUUUAUAUUCCAAUGAGGUGGAUAAAGGAGAAGUGAGCUCAAGGUGGAGAGUAUUUAUGCAAGUAAGGAAUCUGUCUCAAAGGUACCUUCUGCAACUUUGUGAAACAUAAAACAGAAACUCAGUCCCCUUUACUACACUUACAAGGAAAUUCUAACACACAAGAAGAAAAUACCUGCGCAAUGUACUAGGUUUCACAAUGUUCAUCCCUGACAGCUAUAUUUGCUUAACAGUUAUUCAACACGACAUAGAAAAAUUUAACUUCUGCUCAUAUUCUUAGUGUGUAAUAUUCUGUCAUUACAGCAGAGCUACAGAAGGCAUUUAGAAGCAGGUUGAGAAAAAACUGAUGCUAAAGUGAAAUUUAGUCUCCCAAGACAUAGGAAAGAGAGACUUGUAUGGGAGGAGCUGAGACUGCUUCGUGUUACAUCACUUUACGUAAUUUCUUUAAAAGUGUUUUGAUGGUUACCAGAGGGUUUUGAAUACGGUCUUUCAUAACAUCUUGUUCUAUUACACCUAGAUAAUUGGUUAUGUUAAAGUAAAUGAUGUAAAUUAAACAGGAAGAUGAAGGCAAGCUAGGGAAAUUAACUCUGAAAAAUGAGGAUGUAGGUUUCAUGAAGUUCCAGCUCAAGAUGCCUUGUCUCUUUUCUUAAAUGGAUGAUUGAGACCAUGGUUGCAAAUUAAGAACAAUUAACUGAGACAUGUUUCCCCUCUGGCAUAUUGGCAAUAUCAACACAGUAAAAACAACAAAAAAGUUGGUUUUUUUCAGCUUGCUUUAAGAUGCAAGGUUCAGUCCUUAGUUUUCUUCAACUGCAGGUGGUAAAGUAAAAGAAAACAGCUCUACACUGGCAUCAUAGUCCUUACUUCAUGUCUUUUGGACUACUGAGAAUCUGUGUGGGGUGGAAUUGUUCUGUUUUACACACACAGAUAAAUUACUAUCAGUCAGUGUAACAUUUCAAAGGAAUGUGUAGAUGAUCCCUUAUGUAAUUUAGUAACUAGAUUCAAAUGGAUGUAUACAAUCACAGCUGGCCUUUUGUGUGGGGAAAGACUUAAUUUAGGCAAGACACAGUGAAAAGACUGCUUGAGAAGUAUUAAGAUAGUAGACUAAUGCUGCUAAAGGAAUGUCUGAAAAUCUUGGCCCAUUCCAGGGUUCCAUGGAGCAGUCUAAAACCUGGGCUUAGCUCCUGCAGUUACUAAACAAGGUCACCAUUCCUAGGUUAUAUUUUACUACUCUCUUUAUCUCACUCUGGGAGGAAGAGACCAUAGGUGUGGUUUUUUAACAUGUUGGACACCUGCAUUCAUAAAGAUUCUCAGCAGAGAGAAUACAGUGCACUGUACUUGCAUUGGGUUAUUAUGCAUAUGGAAUUAGUGCAAGACCUGUGCUUGCAGACUACUCCUACGUCUUCAAAAAGAGGUUAAAUAACAUUUAAAUGACACAUUUCAUCAAGGUUGCCAUUAUCACAUAUCUGCAGAUUUUCUGCACAUUAAGCAUUACUCUUUACUAUGUAGCUUCAUUGUUCUAUUGCGUUUUGUUUAUCUGUGCUUUGUUUCCUUCAUCAUGUCUAAUCAGGCUAUUUAGAAACAAGUUUUCCGGGACCAAAACUUGCAGUUCUUUACCAUGUUUCCAUACUUUACUGUUCUAUUAAAUUUCAUUCACCUUUUGAGUGUCAGAUGUUUCACUAUGUGAAUCAGAUUGUCAUAGAGAUCUCAAAGUUUCCUGGGAAAGUAUUAUUACGCCUUCUAAUUUGCAACAUCUUACACCAAAUAAAGAAUACCUCCAUCGGUUC